AGUGAACGCUGGCGGUAGGCCUAACACAUGCAAGUCGAACGGCAGCACAGUAAGAGCUUGCUCUUACGGGUGGCGAGUGGCGGACGGGUGAGGAAUACAUCGGAAUCUACUUUUUCGUGGGGGAUAACGUAGGGAAACUUACGCUAAUACCGCAUACGACCUACGGGUGAAAGCAGGGGAUCUUCGGACCUUGCGCGAUUGAAUGAGCCGAUGUCGGAUUAGCUAGUUGGCGGGGUAAAGGCCCACCAAGGCGACGAUCCGUAGCUGGUCUGAGAGGAUGAUCAGCCGCACUGGAACUGAGACACGGUCCAGACUCCUACGGGAGGCAGCAGUGGGGAAUAUUGGACAAUGGGCGCAAGCCUGAUCCAGCCGUACCGCGUGGGUGAAGAAGGCCUUCGGGUUGUAAAGCCCUUUUGUUGGGAAAGAAAAGCAGCAGGUUAAUACCCCGCUGUUCUGACGGUACCCAAAGAAUAAGCACCGGCUAACUUCGUG
rnacentral:rRNA from 1 species